AUUCUGGUUGAUCCUGCCAGUAGUUAUAUGCUUGUCUCAAAGAUUAAGCCAUGCAUGUCUAAGUACACACGAAUUAAAAGUGAAACCGCAAAAGUGAAGGCAAAAGGUUCCUUAGAUCGUUAACAGUUACUUGGAUAACUGUGGUAAUUCUAGAGCUAAUACAUGCAAUUAAAACACGGACCUUAUGGGACGUGUGCUUUUAUUAGGCUAAAACCAAGCGAUCGUAAGAUCGUUACAUUGGUUGAACUCUAGAUAACAUGCAGAUCGUAUGGUCUUGUACCGACGACAGAUCUUUCAAAUGUCUGCCCUAUCAACUUUUGAUGGUAGUAUCUAGGACUACCAUGGUUGCAACGGGUAACGGGGAAUCAGGGUUCGAUUCCGGAGAGGGAGCCUGAGAAACGGCUACCACAUCUAAGGAAGGCAGCAGGCGCGUAAAUUACCCACUCCCAGCUCGGGGAGGUAGUGACGAAAAAUAACAAUACAGGACUCAUAUCCGAGGCCCUGUAAUGG
rnacentral:ncRNA from 1 species